GACAGAGGUUGCAAACGUUGUUCGGAAUUACUGGGCGUAAAGCGCGUGUAGGCGGCUGCGUGUGUCGGGCGUGAAAUCCCAUGGCUCAACCAUGGAAGUGCACCCGAAACUGCGUAGCUAGAGUCCUGGAGAGGAAGGUGGAAUGCUUGGUGUAGAGGUGAAAUUCGUAGAUAUCAAGCGGAACACCGGUGGCGAAGGCGGCCUUCUGGACAGUGACUGACGCUGAGACGCGAAAGCGUGGGGAGCAAACAGG
rnacentral:rRNA from 1 species